rnacentral:rRNA from 1 species
AGAGUUUGAUCCUGGCUCAGGAUGAACGCUGGCGGCGUGCCUAACACAUGCAAGUCGAACGGAAUUUACAUGAAGCCUAGCGAUUGUAAAUUUAGUGGCGGACGGGUGAGUAACGCGUGGGUAACCUGCCUUGUACUGGGGGACAACAGUUGGAAACGACUGCUAAUACCGCAUAAGCCCACGGUACCGCAUGGUACUGAGGGAAAAGGAUUUAUUCGCUUUAGGAUGGACUCGCGUCCAAUUAGCUAGUUGGUGAGGUAACGGCCCACCAAGGCGACGAUUGGUAGCCGGACUGAGAGGUUGAACGGCCACAUUGGGACUGAGACACGGCCCAGACUCCUACGGGAGGCAGCAGUGGGGGAUAUUGCACAAUGGGGGAAACCCUGAUGCAGCGACGCCGCGUGGAGGAAGAAGGUUUUCGGAUUGUAAACUCCUGUCGUUAGGGACGAUAAUGACGGUACCUAACAAGAAAGCACCGGCUAACUACGUGCCAGCAGCCGCGGUAAAACGUAGGGUGCAAGCGUUGUCCGGAAUUACUGGGUGUAAAGGGAGCGCAGGCGGGAAGACAAGUUGGAAGUGAAAACCAUGGGCUCAACCCAUGAAUUGCUUUCAAAACUGUUUUUCUUGAGUAGUGCAGAGGUAGAUGGAAUUCCCGGUGUAGCGGCGGAAUGCGUAGAUAUCGGGAGGAACACCAGUGGCGAAGGCGGUCUACUGGGCACCAACUGACGCUGAGGCUCGAAAGCAUGGGUAGCAAACAGGAUUAGAUACCCUGGUAGUCCAUGCCGUAAACGAUGAUUACUAG